GUCCACGCCCUAACGAUGUCAACUGGUUGUUGGGAACUUGAUUCCUUAGUAACGAAGCUAACGCGUGAAGUUGACCGCCUGGGGAGUACGGCCGCAAGGUUAAACUCAAAGGAAUUGACGGGGACCCGCACAAGCGGUGGAUUAUGUGGAUUAAUUCGAUGCAACGCGAAAACCUUACCUACCCUUGACAUGUACGGAAUCCCUCAGAGAUGGGGGAGUGCCCGAAAGGGAGCCGUAACACAGGUGCUGCAUGGCUGUCGU
rnacentral:rRNA from 1 species